AGUUGGUUGGGAAAGAUGGCAAUAUGAUGGCGUAAGGCAUAAGCAGCGAAGUGAAAUCUGAUGCGCUUUUGGCGAUUUCACUGGGAAUUUCCAUAUCCAUACUUCUCCCACUGCUUUUCCAAUGUCUUCCUACCUUCAACUCCAACUCCGUCUUCCUCUUCUGCGUCGCCGUCCUAUUCAAUGCGCUUCCGACCGCCAGGCAUUGUUCAACCGUAUUGCGCCUGUUUAUGAUACUUUAAAUGACUUCCUCAGCUUGGGCCAGCAUCGUAUUUGGAAACGGAUGGCCGUCUCCUGGAGCUGUGCGAAGCCAGGAGACUGCGUCUUGGAUAUAUGUUGUGGAAGCGGCGAUUUGGCCUUCCUUUUAUCUCAGAAAGUUGGAUCCACCGGCAAGGUGACGGGUCUUGAUUUCUCAUGGGAGCAGCUAAGUAUUGCUUCUUCUCGCCAACGUUCCCUCUCCAAACCCUGCUAUGAGAACAUUGGGUGGGUGGAGGGUGAUGCACUCAAUUUGCCAUUUCCUGACUGCUCUUUUGAUGCCAUUACAAUGGGCUAUGGCCUACGAAAUGUGGUGGAUAAACGGAAAGCACUAGAGGAAAUAUUUAGAGUACUCAAAGAAGGUAGUAAGGCAUCAAUUCUCGAUUUUAACAAGACUACACAACCCACUGUUGCUGCUAUUCAGGAGUGGAUGAUCAACAACAUUGUCGUCCCUGUGGCAUCUAGUUAUGGCCUUGCUGAUGAUUACAGAUAUUUGUCCAAAUCCAUCCGUGAAUUUUCAACAGGAAAGGAAUUGGAAGACCUCGCUUUAGAAGUAGGAUUCUCGACCUCUGUACAUUAUGAACUUAGUGGAGGCCUUAUGGGAAAUUUGGUGGCAUCUCGUUAAAUGGGAUUCAUGUUUUCUCUUGGUUCAAAGCUUUGAACUAGAGUACCUGAGAAUAUGCUAUUUGGCUUCAUGUCUUUGAUGCAUUAAGUUCUGUGACAUUUUCAACGGUGCUCUGUUUCAUGAGAUUGGCAAUUUUUGCGAGGAAUGCAAUGCCAUUUCCCAUUCUUGGGAACGUUUUAGUGCUUUAGGUAAGAGAGACGGAAGGAUUCCCCAGUUUAUGGUAGUUAUCUGGGAUAAAAUGAACUAUGGCCGACUGUGGCAGUAGAAGAUCCCUCCGUAUUCGAAUAACAUCGUGAGUACUUGCAUGAAUCAUCAAGUUCCAUGGUCAUCUCAUCCAUGAAGGGUGGUUUGGUGGGUGGAGGAAGAUGCUCUUCCUCCAUGGUCAGCAUUCGUAGUACCUUUGACAUUGUUGGCCGUAGAGAUGGAAUCUCCUGGAUGCAUAAGAGCCCUAUGUGCACCACUCUCACUACCUCGUCCUUUACUUUCUUGUUAUAGUGAUUCUGAAGAUUGAGACUUGGAUCAAAUAAUCUCUCAACUGUGCCUGCUUGGAAAUGUCUCCAUAUCUAUUUUACCAUGUAGAAACACAAGGGAGAAGGGAGAUGUCAUACUACUGUUUGUAGAAUUUUGCAUUCAUAGAAAUAUAUGUAAUGGUUUCGUAGAACUUACAGCAGUGACUAGACUUUCAAUGUUUCCGGAGACUUGAAUGCCGCUAUAUUGCAACCCUGUAACAAUUUCUAACAAGAGCACUCCAAAACUAUAGACAUCGGCCUUCUCUGAUAACUGACCAUAAGCUAGAUACUCUGGAGCCAUAUAUCCUCUGGAGAUGCAGAAGGUAGAAAAAGGGAACGUUAUUAGCUCUGCAAACCUUCUAUUAGCUUUUAUCUAAUUGAAUAUAUUUCAAACUGACUGAAAAAGAACUUGUUCAUGAGAAAACAUACAGGGUUCCUGCAACAGCCGUGCUAAUAUGGCUCUUGCUUUCUUGGAAAGACCUUGCCAAUCCAAAAUCUGCUAUUUUCGCUUGAUACUUUAAGUCCAGCAAGAUAUUACUGGCCUUUAUAUCUCUGUGUAUGAUUUUGAACUUCGGGUUUUCAUGUAGAUAUAUUAAACCUUCAACCGUUCCAGUGAUGAUGUUAUAUCUCUUAUCCCAAUCUAGAGCUCUACUGUUACUGGUAUCUGUGUAAUUUUUUGAAAAAGUUAAGGUAAGAUCUUUGAAUUACUAUAAUCAAUGUAUUUUAUAGUGAUAGCUGCAGUACAUACCGAAAAUGAAGCGAUCAAGACUCUUGUUUGGUAGGAAUUCAUAAACAAGAAGGCUUUCAGGUCCAGAACAACUGCAUCCAAGCAACCUUACCAGAUUUUUAUGUUCAACACUGCUGAUCAUGUUUACUUCAUUGUAGAAAUCUGCUGCUCUAUGUCUGUUAUCAUAGAAGAAUCUCUUGACAGCAAUCUCUCUUCCAUCGGAUAGAGUACCCUGUGAGGAAUGAGAAUGAAAAAUGAAUGGUGUGUUUUCGGUUAAAAUUGAAGAUUGUAGGACCUUCUCAGAUGGAGAGGAAGAAUAACUACCUUAUAAACUGAGCCAAACCCCCCUUGUCCAAUCUUGUUAUCUAGGCUGAAAUUGUUUGUUGCUUUUUCAAGGGUUGAGUACUUGAAUUCCAAGUUACUAUCUUGAAGAGUUUUUGCCAACUUCUUCACGUCAGUUGAACCUCCUGAAGUGUAAAUCGUAUCAUUUGAAGAAAAAAAUGUCAAUUAAACUCCCUCAAAGGGUCCUCACCAUGAAACUUGCAGCUUUACCUUUCCUCUUCUUUUUAAUAUAUCUGCGCUUCCAGAUAUAAGUGCCAAUCGCCAGACCAAUUAUCAAAACAACAACAGAACUCAAGACUGAAACUAUCAAUUCAGUUCUCGUGCCACCUGCAGACAAGGCAUCGUUUUAAACAUUGUGAGAGUGGAAUAGUUGGUUAGCAUACUCUAAACUUGUGGCAUAGGAUCAGUGUUACCUCUGGAACUAUUUUUAAUGUCCUGAUUGAGGAAGUCUGUAUUUGAAUAUCUCAUGAAGCAGCCUGUGUUCAAUGCCCGUGCUUCCGAUCGAGGUAAACAUCUUAACAUUGAAGCAGAAGCAAUUUGCAAACAUGUGCUGCAAGAACUGCGGUUUAAACUUCUCCAGCACUGACCCAGAGCAUAAGCGGCAGAUUCAUUUGCCAUCCCGGCCACAGCCAUUCGAGCUUUCGCAAAGCCUCGGUUGUCUGGUGCACCAUUGACCACUUGCAUCACUGCCUCCGUGGCUGCUUGUCUGUAGUUGGGGUCAUUUUGGGUAAAGUUCCCGCAAAUUGCAGUGUCUUCAGGUCCUUUAUAUUCAUCAAAGAAGCUGUAGUUUUCGAACCUCAGGAAGCAGCCAUCGAUGAAAGCUCGACCGCCGUUGAAAGGAAAGCAUUGGGGAAGCAUUGUACGUGCUUGAGAAUGACACAGCACACAUUCAAGGGAUGAGAGAUCUCCAUGGCAUUGAGCAAGCCCAUAGCUGGCAUCGGGUCCUAUUCCUGUACCAGCGGUUCCAAAUCCUGAAGUUCUGAUUUGUUGUCUAACUUUUUCCAUGGAACCAAAAAAGUUUGGGACAUAUGCGGUGGUGUUGUGCUCCAGUUCUUUCCCGCAAAUCACUCUCACAGUUCGAUCUCUUGGCUUCCCUAAAAUCGAAGUUGCUUGCAGCAGAAGUAAAGUGAUGACCGAAAAUAGGAUAUAUUUAGAAGCAUAAACAAGCUGGAUCCCCAUGGAAUCUGGAUUUCUGUUGGAUCCAGAGGAAGCCGAAGAAGGAGAAGGAGAAGAAGAAAAUUGGAUGACAGUUUCUGUGGAAGGUUCUACCCAAAUGGAAGUUUAAAAUUUUUGUAUUGAAAAUGAGGGGGUGAUGUAAUGGGAGUGGAUGGCUCUAAUCGACACGAAGUCGUCAAGUCCAGGAAGGAGAAGGAGAGGGAGGGAACGAGACCUCUCCAUUCAGUCAACAACGGCGGCUUCCUCUCUUUUCUUGCAAGCAAUUAUUUUGUUUUAACAAAUGAAAUUAUGGUGAAACAAUUCCGCCUGGCCCUCGAUUUUUUCCAUUCCUCAAUUUCUCGUAGUUAUUAAAACAUUUGAAAAUAGUUCUUAUUUAAAUUCUAGGACUCUUUAUCAUUUUUUUUUUAUCAAUAAAUAUUAGCGAAAGAUUAUUCUCAAGAUUAUUUAAUGUUUUCAAAAUAUGUAGGGCACUUGGCGGUCAAAAAGGGAAAAGAAAAGGUUGAAACCAAAAUUCUGCGGAUGUUGUAGAAAAAAAGGACAAGAAAAAAACCUAACACAAUCUCAAUAAGGCCAUUUCUUUUCUUUAUUUUAUUUAUUUCUUUUGAAUUGGGGGUACCAGGGUUUCAACAAACCCACGACCUUGAAUCUUCAUAGGAAAUGCCCGAUUAUACAAAAAAGAAAGAUCUGGUGUUCACUUUUAUAAGCCUGGAAUUUAAUUAAUUGAGCCUACCUUGAAUUUGUGCUACAGGUAGGUUAGUUGGUACCAGAAUUAACUUUACUUCUUCUUCCUUUUCCAUUGAAAAAAACACAAGAAAAAAGAAAAAAAGAAAGAGCAGUUACAAAAUUUCCACGAGGAAGCAAAAAAGAAUUUGGAUGGCACCUCUUGGUCCUCGUGGAAAUGGAAUUGUGGCCCAUUGCAAUUUACAACUGGGAAUUAGCGUACAUUAGAGAGUUGCACUCAGAUUACAUUACUCAAUACUUCAAAUUACGGUAUUGCUGAUCGACACAAUUAUAUUUAUUGCCAAAUACCUUCUCUUCUCCUCCACCAUAUCUACAAAAAUCUUCCUGAGGUGAAACUCUAAACAAUAUUACAAUUACCUGGGAUGAAAUGAACUAUGGGUGACAGUAGCAGCUGAGGAAGAAGCUUCGGUGAGGUUGAAGCAUGAUGGGUCCUCACUGGUGUCGUUUAAUUCCAUUGUCCUCUCAUCCAUGAACGGUGGGUUUGUUGGGGUCGGAAGUUUCUCUUCCUUCUUCAUCAGCAUCUGCAGUACCUUCGACAUUGUGGGUCGGAGAGAUGCACUCUCCUGUGUGCAAAGAAGCCCUAUCUGCACCACUCUCAAUAUUUCCUCUUUUGUGCUCCUAUCUUCCUCAACCAUUAGUCACAGUCUCCAGCAAAACCACACCAAAACUGUACACAUCUGCCUUUUCUGUUAGCUGCCCAUGAGCUAAAUACUCUGGCGCCAUGUAUCCCCUGUGGAUUCAAAAAUCACUUUUUAAUUAAAUCUUCACUAAAACAAUAUGAUCGAUCUCAAUACAAGAAUAUAAAACACACAAGGUUCCAGCAAUGGCAGUGCUGAUGUGACUCUCGUCUUCUUCAAAUGAUCUAGCUAAUCCAAAAUCGGCUAUUUUGGCUCGAAGCUUGGAGUCUAGCAGGAUGUUGCUAGCCUUGAUGUCUCUGUGAAUGAUCUUGGUUUUCGAGUUCUCAUGAAGCGGUCGAGACUCUUGUUGGCAAGGUAUUCAUAGACAAGCAGACUUUCAGGUCCAGAACAACUACAACCGAGCAACCGUACUAAAUUUUUGUGCUCUACACUACUGAUUAUGUUUACUUCAUUGUAAAAAUCUGCUGCUCUAUGUUUGUUAUUGAAGAAAAGCCUCUUCACAGCUAUCUCUCUUCCAUCCGAUAGAACUCCCUAUAUCAACAUGGUAAAAACCUCAGAGUUCAAGCUAUAUUAAUUCAAAUGCACGUUCGAACUGAAGCAAACAAAACAAGACUUGCCUUAUAAACAGUGCCAAAUCCUCCUUGUCCAAGCUUGUUAGCCUCAGCAAAGGAUCCUGUUGCCUUUUCAAGGGUAGAGUACUUGAAAUUCAAGCUACUAUUGUUUAGUGUUUUUGCCAUCUUGUUUGCAUCGUUUGAACCUUUGGAUUGGAUAUAUAAAUAAAGGGUAAUCAUGUGAACAUCGAUGUCCUAAAGCUUAGAGCUCUUGAAGAAUGCAUCGUCUUCUCUAGCUAGCAGUAAUUAGUGUUUUCCUUUUUUUUUCUUUUUCAAGUUCUUGGUACUUAAACCAACAACAAAUAGAAAGGCAGUGUUUUAAAGUUA